AUUGAACGCUGGCGGCAGGCCUAACACAUGCAAGUCGAGCGAGCGGCGGACGGGUGAGUAAUGUAUGGGGACUGCCCGAUAGAGGGGGAUAACUACUGGAAACGGUGGCUAAUACCGCAUACUAUCGGAUAACCCAUAUGGGAUUAGCUAGUAGGUGGGGUAAAGGCUCACCUAGGCGACGAUCUCUAGCUGGUCUGAGAGGAUGAUCAGCCACACUGGGACUGAGACACGGCCCAGACUCCUACGGAGGCAGCAGUGAGGAAUAUUGGUCAAUGGAGGAAACUCUGAACCAGCCAAGUCGCGUGAAGGAAGAAUGCCUAAGGAUUGUAAACUUCUUUAGCGAGCGAGUAAGUAGCUCGAGAAUAAGUAUCGGCUAACUCCGUGCCAGCAGCCGCGGUAAUUC
rnacentral:rRNA from 1 species